rnacentral:rRNA from 1 species
GAUGAACGCUGGCGGCGUGCCUAAUACAUGCAAGUCGAGCGAACAGACGAGGCGCUUGCUCCUCUGACGUUAGCGGCGGACGGGUGAGUAACACGUGGAUAACCUACCUAUAAGACUGGUAUCACUUCGGGAAACCGGAGCUAAUACCGGAUAAUCUCUUGAACCGCAUGGUUCAAUAGUGAAAGACGGUUUUGCUGUCUCUUAUAGAUGGAUCCCCGCCGCAUUAGCUAGUUGUUAAGGUAACGGCUUACCAAGGCAACGAUGCGUAGCCGACCUGAGAGGGGGAUAGGCGACAUGGGAGAGGGGCCAGGGUCCAGACGACUACGGGAGGCAGCAGAAGGGAAUGGUACGCAAUGGGCGAAAGCAUGACGGAGCAACGCGGCGUGAGUGAUGAAGGUCUUCGGAUCGUAAAAAUCUGUUAUGAGGGAAGAACAAAUGUGGAAGGAACUAUGCACGGCGUGACGGUACCUAAUCAGAAAGCCACGGCUAACUACGUG